GCCCACUGAAUUUUUUUAACGGCCGCGGUAUCCUGACCGUGCUAAGGUAGCGUAAUCAUUUGUCUCUUAAUUAGUGACCUGUAUGAAAGGCUGCACGAAACAAGACCUUUUUUUGACUUACUUAAUAAACUUAAUUUUUUAGUUAAAAAGCUGAAAUGAUCUAAAAAGACGAGAAGACCCUAAAGAGUUUAAUAAAAACACCCUUAAAGAAAAUUAAUUACAUAAUCUUUUUGGGGAAAUUUUUGUUUGAUUGGGGCGAUAUUAAAAUAAAAAAAACUUUUAAUUAACUAAACUAUAUUUUAGAUCUAUUCUGAUCCAUUAUUAAUGAUUAAAAGAAAAAAUUACCUUAGGGAUAACAGCGUUAUACUUAUUGAGAGUUCUAAUUGACAUAAGUGUUUGCGACCUCGAUGUUGGACUAAAAUUACUUUAUGGUGCAGAAGCUAUACAAGUGGGUCUGUUCGACCUUUAAUUUUUUACACGAUCUGAGUUCAGACCGGCGUGAGCCAGGUUG
rnacentral:rRNA from 1 species